rnacentral:lncRNA from 1 species
GUUUGUGAGUGGUCAGGCAGGGAACACUGACACUGGAGCGCGUGUGCACGAGAGGACUCCAUUUUUUUCUUUCUCUCUUUGAACAAAUACAACGUCGCCCGGUUGGAAUAUUAUCGCUAUUUUAUGAGAAAAAUCGCAUAAAAAUUGGUUUUAAACAGCGUUUGACAUGCUUCGAAGUACGGUAAUGGAAUAUUUUGACAUUUCUUGUCACGAAAUGCGCCUGCGCGUCACCCUUCGGAUACUGACCUCAACGCACGAACAAAACGGAGCUAUUUCAAUAUAACUAUGGAUUAUUUCGAACCAAAACAACAUUUGUUGUUGAAGUAGAAGUCCUGGGAGUGCAUUCUGACGAAGAACAGCAAAGCGUUCUACAGAUAGAGACGUUUUGUUGCCAUGCUGUGAUCACAACACCACGUAUUGAUUGGAUACAAGGAGGACAUUUUCACAAAAGGCCUCCUGUUGCGAGCUCCCAGCUAAAUACUACAGAGAAUAUCUGUGACCUUUUAGCAGUAUCUUAAACCUUUCUGGAGGCAGCACCAAGGUGAGCUGAGGGGAACAGGGGAGCUCAGCUCCUCGGGGAGGGGGAGAGCAAAUUAAAGCUCACCUCAGGAACCGUGCCACCCCUGGCACUGUCCUGAUGCAACAGCUGCAGAUACAAAAACCAUCAUCUGACAUCCUGACACACGUCUGUGCCAGGUGGGUUGGGCGGGCUGGGUGUGCUGGGCAGGCGAGUCGGGCCAACUAGCCAAUGCCAGCUCUCAGGCACCCAGGGCUCCUAGUCGUGCCAGUCCCAGCCUUAAGCAAAACAAGUGUACAACAUCCUGUAUCUGGUCCUGAGGGGGACUGGGGUACGAGGUAGAGGCACCAACAGAGACCGCUGUCACAACAUCCUGUAUCUGGUCCUGAGGGGGACUGGGGUACGAGGUAGAGGCACCAACAGAGACCGCUGUCACAACAUCCUGUAUCUGGUCCUGAGGGGGACUGGGGUACGAGGUAGAGGCACCAACAGAGACCGCUGUCACAACAUCCUGUAUCUGGUCCUGAGGGGGACUGGGGUACGAGGUAGAGGCACCAACAGAGACCGCUGCCGAAAAUAACAAAAGGAGGUUAUGGGUCCUGCUGAGAAGCUCUUUCGUAAUAUUUUAGAUGAAGUAGACCUGCAAGUUGACUGCAAAUUACCUCUAAUGUCUCUCCUAGACUGCAGGACACAGGCAGGCUGGAGAAAUUAUUUAUUCUGUUUUUUGGGGGUGGGUAAAGAAUAACUCCCUUUCAUUGUAAACCCAGGGAGGUAGUUCUGUUGAUGUAUCACUACACCUCCCUCAUCAUCCCUCAUCAUCAUCACCUGGAUAUCCUUCAUCAAGCCCUUUAUAUCUAGGUAUCACCUGGAUAUCCUUCAUCCAGCCCUUUAUAUCUAUGUAUCACCUGGAUAUCCUUCAUCCAGCCCUUUAUAUCUAUGUAUCACCUGGAUAUCCUUCAUCCAGCCCUUUAUAUCUAUGUAUCACCUGGAUAUCCUUCAUCCAGCCCUUUAUAUCUAGGUAUCACCUGGAUAUCCUUCAUUCAGCCCUUUAUAUCUAUGUAUCACCUGGAUAUCCUUAUUUCAUUUUUAAACUACUAAAAUAGGCGUAUUUGUAUUUCCUAUUAUAUCAAUUAUAAUCCAUGAAAUGUACGAGAAAACAGAAAGUGUUCGAGGACGGAAUAAUAUUUUGGACAUGUCACGUGUACGGAGAGAAACGGAGAGAGAUAAAGAUCUGCUUAUAACUUAGGUGGCAGAUGCCAGUUUGGAUCAUUAGUCGCUGUCCUCCUGCUGCUCAGGUCCGAGUGCAUGCUGCCUCUGUCCAAUGAGGCGCUGCAACACCACCUGAUGCACAUAUACUGUACAUACACACAUACACACAAACACACACACACACACCUUGCACAUAGACACACACACCUUGCACACACACUUCCCAUGAGAUCACCAAGGCAG